rnacentral:rRNA from 1 species
UACGAAGGUCCCAAGCGUUGUUCGAAAUCACUGGGCGUAAAGGGAGCGUAGGCGGCGUGGUAAGUCAGAUGUGAAAUCCCGGGGCUCAACCCCCGGAACUGCAUCCGAUACUGCCGUGCUUGAGUGCAGGAGAGGAACGCGGAAUUCCAGGUGUAGCGGUGAAAUGCGUAGAUAUCUGGAGGAACACCGGUGGCGAAAGCGGUUCACUGGCCCGACACUGACCACUGAGGUGCGAAAGCUAGGGUAGCAAACGGG